UACGAGUGGCUCAAGCGUUAUCCGGAAUUAUUGGGCGUAAAGGAUGUGUAGGUGGUUAUGUUAGUCGGAUGUCCAACCUCUGGGCUCAACCUGGAGACAGCAUUCGAAACGGCAUGACUAGAGUAUGUUAGGGGUGAGCGGAACUCAUAGUGUAGGGGUGAAAUCCGUUGAUAUUAUGGGGAACACCAAAAGCGAAGGCAGCUCACUGGGACAUUACUGACACUGAAACAUGAAAGCGUGGGUAGCGAAUGGG
rnacentral:rRNA from 1 species